AGAGUUUGAUCCUGGCUCAGGACGAACGCUGGCGGCGUGCUUAACACAUGCAAGUCGAACGGAUUUCUGUUAAGGAAGUUUUCGGAUGGAAUUAACGGAAGUUAGUGGCGGACGGGUGAGUAACACGUGGAUAAUCUACCUUAAUGACCGGGACAACAGUUGGAAACGACUGCUAAUACCGGAUAAGCUCAGCAAUGAGGAAAGGAGGCCUCUCGAAGAAGCUCCCGCGUUAAGAUGAGUCCGCGUCUGAUUAGCUAGUUGGUGGGGUAAAGGCCUACCAAGGCGACGAUCAGUAGCCGGCCUGAGAGGGUGACCGGCCACAUUGGGACUGAGACACGGCCCAAACUCCUACGGGAGGCAGCAGUGGGGAAUCUUCCGCAAUGGGCGCAAGCCUGACGGAGCAACGCCGCGUGAACGAGGAAGGCCUUCGGGUCGUAAAGUUCUGUUGACAGGGACGAAUAAGCCAUGCGAACAGUUUGGUGUAUGACGGUACCUGUUUAGAAAGCUCCGGCUAACUACGUGCCAGCAGCCGCGGUAAUACGUAGGGAGCAAGCGUUGUCCGGAAUUACUGGGCGUAAAGGGCGCGUAGGCGGGUGAACAAGUCAGGUGUGAAAACUCUGGGCUCAACCUGGAGACUGCACUUGAAACUGUUUAUCUUGAGGGCAGGAGAGGAAAGUGGAAUUCCUAGUGUAGCGGUGAAAUGCGUAGAUAUUAGGAGGAACACCAGUGGCGAAGGCGACUUUCUGGACUGUACCUGACGCUGAGGCGCGAAAGCGUGGGUAGCGAACGGGACUAGAUACCCCGGUAGUCCACGCCGUAAACGAUGAUUACUAGGUGUAGGAGGUAUCGACUCCUUCUGUGCCGCAGCUAACGCAAUAAGUAAUCCGCCUGGGGACUACGGUCGCAAGACUAAAACUCAAAGGAAUUGACGGGGACCCGCACAAGCGGUGGAGCAUGUGGUUUAAUUCGACGCAACGCGAAGAACCUUACCUGGUCUUGACAUCCGGCUGACCGGACGGUAACGUGUCCUUUCCUUCGGGACAGCCGAGACAGGUGGUGCAUGGUUGUCGUCAGCUCGUGUCGUGAGAUGUUGGGUUAAGUCCCGCAACGAGCGCAACCCUUAUCUUUAGUAGCCAGCGGUUCGGCCGGGCACUCUAGAGAGACUGCCAGGGAUAACCUGGAGGAAGGUGGGGAUGACGUCAAAUCAUCAUGCCCCUUAUGAUCAGGGCUACACACGUGCUACAAUGGCGUAAACAAAGGGAAGCAGAGCCGCGAGGCCGAGCAAAUCUCAAAAAUAACGUCUCAGUUCGGAUUGUAGUCUGCAACUCGACUACAUGAAGCUGGAAUCGCUAGUAAUCGCGAAUCAGAAUGUCGCGGUGAAUACGUUCCCGGGUCUUGUACUCACCGCCCGUCA
rnacentral:rRNA from 1 species